UGGGGAAUCUUCCGCAAUGGACGAAAGUCUGACGGAGCAACGCCGCGUGAGUGAAGACGGCCUUCGGGUUGUAAAGCUCUGUUAUUCGGGAAGAACGAUUCGUUUGUGAACAAUGAACGGAAGUGACGGUACCGAAAGAGAAAGCCACGGCUAACUACGUGCCAGCAGCCGCGGUAAUACGUAGGUGGCAAGCGUUGUCCGGAAUUAUUGGGCGUAAAGAGCGCGUAGGCGGUAUGGUAAGUCUGUCUUAGAAGUGCGGGGCUUAACCCCGUGAGGGGACAGAGACUGUCAUACUGGAGUCUCGGAGAGGAAAGCGGAAUUCCUAGUGUAGCGGUGAAUUGCGUAGAGAUUAGGAAGAACACCGGUGGCGAAGGCGGCUUUCUGGACGAGCACUGACGCUGAGGCGCGAAAGCGUGGGGAGCGAACAGG
rnacentral:rRNA from 1 species